rnacentral:rRNA from 1 species
CAAACUGAAGAUGGCGACCGGCGCACGGGUGGGUAAUACGUAUCCAACCUGCCGAUAACUCUGGAAUAGCCUUUCGAAAGAAAGAUUAAUACCGGAUAGUAUACGAAUAUCGCAUGAUAUUUUUAUUAAAGAAUUCGGUUAUCGAUGGGGAUGCGUUCCAUUAGUUUGUUGGCGGGGUAACGGCCCACCAAGACUACGAUGGAUAGGGGUUCUGAGAGGAAGGUCCCCCACAUUGGAACUGAGACACGGUCCAAACUCCUACGGGAGGCAGCAUG